CACCCCUGGCUCUGGGCAAAGAGACACCAUAUUGUUGGUGAUGUUCUUGCAUCAGUCAAGGGCAGAGCAGAUAGUGAUCCUUUGUUUAUCCUAAUUUGAUGCCUGGCUUGGGGACCAAAGAUGUGUCCUAUACCUAGUACUCAUCA